rnacentral:rRNA from 1 species
GACGAACGCUGGCGGCGUGCUUAACACAUGCAAGUCGAACGGAAAGGCCCUGCUUUUGUGGGGUGCUCGAGUGGCGAACGGGUGAGUAACACGUGAGUAACCUGCCCUUGACUUUGGGAUAACUUCAGGAAACUGGGGCUACUACCGUAUAGGAGCUCCUGCUGCAUGGUGGGGGUUGGAAAGUUUCGGCGGUUGGGGAUGGACUCGCGGCUUAUCAGCUUGUUGGUGGGGUAGUGGCUUACCAAGGCUUUGACGGGUAGCCGACCUGAGAGGGUGACCGGCCUCAUUGGGACUGCGAUACGGCCCAGACUCCUACGGGAGGCAGCAGUGGGGAAUAUUGCACAAUGGGCGGAAGCCUGAUGCAGCAACGCCGCGUGCGGGAUGACGGCCUUCGGGUUGUAAACCGCUUUAGCCUGUGACGAAGCGUGAGUGACGGUAAUGGGUAAAGAAGCACCGGCUAACUACGUG